UAGGGAAUCUUCGGCAAUGGGGGGAACCCUGACCGAGCAACGCCGCGUGAGUGAAGAAGGUUUUCGGAUCGUAAAGCUCUGUUGUUAAGGAAGAACGAGUGUGAGAAUGGAAAGUUCAUGCUGUGACGGUACUUAACCAGAAAGGGACGGCUAACUACGUGCCAGCAGCCGCGGUAAUACGUAGGUCCCGAGCGUUGUCCGGAUUUAUUGGGCGUAAAGCGAGCGCAGGCGGUUAGAAAAGUAUGAAGUGAAAGGCAGUGGCUCAACCAUUGUAGGCUUUGGAAACUGUUUAACUUGAGUGCAGAAGGGGAGAGUGGAAUUCCAUGUGUAGCGGUGAAAUGCGUAGAUAUAUGGAGGAACACCGGUGGCGAAAGCGGCUCUCUGGUCUGUAACUGACGCUGAGGCUCGAAAGCGUGGGGAGCGAACAGG
rnacentral:rRNA from 2 species